rnacentral:rRNA from 1 species
CGUAUGCAAUNUACCUUUGCAGAGGGAUAGCCCAGAGAAAUUUGGAUUAAUACCUCAUAGUAUAGUACUUUGGCAUCAAGGAACUAUUAAAGUCACAACGGCAAAAGAUGAGCAUGCGUCCCAUUAGCUAGUUGGUAAGGUAACGGCUUACCAAGGCUACGAUGGGUAGGGGGUCCUGAGAGGAGAUCCCCCACACUGGUACUGAGACACGGACCAGACUCCUACGGGAGGCAGCAGUGAGGAAUAUUGGACAAUGGGCGCAAGCCUGAUCCAGCCAUGCCGCGUGCAGGAUGACGGUCCUAUGGAUUGUAAACUGCUUUUAUACAGGAAGAAACCCUCCCACGUGUGGGAGCUUGACGGUACUGUAGGAAUAAGGAUCGGCUAACUCCGUG